AACGCGAAGAACCUUACCUACUCUAGACAUCCACGGAAUUCGGCAGAGAUGCCUUAGUGCCUUCGGGAACCGUGAGACAGGUGCUGCAUGGCUGUCGUCAGCUCGUGUUGUGAAAUGUUGGGUUAAGUCCCGCAACGAGCGCAACCCUUAUCCUUUGUUGCCAGCGAGUAAUGUCGGGAACUCAAAGGAGACUGCCAGUGACAAACUGGAGGAAGGUGGGGAUGACGUCAAGUCAUCAUGGCCCUUACGAGUAGGGCUACACACGUGCUACAAUGGCGUAUACAAAGAGAAGCGAACUCGCGAGAGCAAGCGGACCUCAUAAAGUACGUCGUAGUCCGGAUCGGAGUCUGCAACUCGACUCCGGAAGUCGGAAUCGCUAGUAAUCGUAGAUCAGAAUCCU
rnacentral:rRNA from 1 species